GACCUCGGAUCAGGUAGGGAUACCCGCUGAACUUAAGCAUAUCAG
rnacentral:rRNA from 1 species